rnacentral:lncRNA from 1 species
ACCUACCUGACUGGAGAGCGACAUAUAGAGCCCUAGACGGUUGACGGCGAGAGGGCGAGACAGCAGAUGGGAACGGCAGCGAUUCGUUAGCCGGCCGGAGGUGCCAACGGCGUCGACGUGAGCAGGUGCGCGCUGAUUGAUCAAUAUGUAGUUUCGCCAGAAUUAGAUUAUAAACCAAAAUCACAAACUUGAAGCUUGGUUGGCGGCGAGAGGGCGAGACAGCGGAUGGGAACGGCAGCGAUUCGUUGGCCGGCCGGAGGUGCGAACGGCGUCGACGUGAGCAGGUGCGCGCUGAUUGAUCAAUACGUAGUUUCGCCAGAAUUAUUAGAAUUCUAAACUAAUGCUAAUCUAUUUGAUGUAUCCGAUAACUAAUGCAAUAAGCUAUUAAAGCUUUAGAGAGAGAGAGAGAGAAUUCUAAUGCAAUUAGAAUUCUAAACUAAUGCUAAUCUAUUUGAUGUAUCCGAUAACUAAUGCAAUAAGCUAUUAAAU